CGAGAUCCUGGCUACGGGCCUGGCUACAACCAUUGUUUGGAGGACUGUUUUCCUGUGUACUGGUAGUAGACAGAGGGUUGUCUACAGGCCCCAGGCACAGGAGACAAAAGUGGCAUUUGGGGUUUCACCUUAAGCAUCUUUUAGGUGGACUGUGAAAUACAGGUCUGUUAACAUAUGCAGAGGGCAGCUGCAUAAGUGACUGAACUGUCACACGAUGCUGAAUCAACUUGCUUGCUUUCUUAAUUUCCCACUGAGUAUCACUCAGUUUUUAUAGCAAGGAGGUGACAUCUGUUAUCUGAAGGAAGUCAUUGGGAACGUUUUGGCAAUGUGCGAAUGGCUGCCUCCUCCACUCAGCUCGCUUUCCUUCAAUUUCAAGCCCUUUCAAAGUGGUCAUCUCUGUAUUGGUACCCCAGAUGGGGAUUUACCAUAAAGAAAGAGGGUAAAUGUCUUUAAAGACUAUGAUAUGCAUUUACAUUUACAAAAUGCAUUUUAUAUUUUCUCCCCCAGGUUUUACUUGGUGCAUUGUGUGUAGGCGAGAGCCCUUCUGUGAAUUUUGAAAAAAAAAAGAAGUUAUUUUUGUCACUGGAAAAUGAGCCCUGUUAAGACUUGUCAGCACUUGGAUGAGCUGUGUGAGGGUCUUUUUCUUUCUUUCUUUUGAAAAAAAUGAAAUAACAUUCGUUUAAAAUCUGUCACUAGAAGUUGUGACAGUUGGCAACUCUUAUACUGUGUACCUUUUGGUGGUACUUUUGAGAUCUGCGUGUGUUUUUACGCAAAACAUGGAUUUGCAGUGUUACUUCUGUUUUUACCACAGCAAUGGCUUCCCAUUUCUUUGGGCCUGCAGGAAGGGGACAUUGCAAAUGGGAAAGAGAACAACUUCUGCCUGGUUAUAUUUUUGCUGGAGAAAUGCCAAGAUAUAAGAAGACAAUUUACUUGUUCUGCUGAUUCUCUGUGAGCUAAUGUAUAUUUGUAAGAGCUCUUUAAUGUGUCAGCAAGCCCAGCCGCAAAAUGUCCCAUGGUGGGCUCUGGGCAAUGAGCAGUGUCAAAUCAAGCAACAUGGUUUUGGCAUGAAAGGGAACAAGCAGAAUGACAGGAGUUCCUGCAGCUGUCUCUCCUUGGCUGGGCCACUGCAUUUGAUAGUCCCCACUAAGCCCCAGCUUGGACUUGCUGCCGUGGCCAUCACUGUAGCAAGCUUGGAAAGCUGUGAAUACUUGGAGAGCAUAUGAAAUCGCCUCAGGGAAGCGUCUGUGAAAGCUGUUGAUUUCCCUUUGCUCAGUAUGUCAAUCCAUAAAGAGCACAGCAAGAGAGAAAAAGCAAUUAGGUUCAAGAAAGCAUUGUGAAAAUAUAGAUUUUCAAAGUAAAACAGCCAGCCCUUCUUGACUCCGCAGAACAAUAAUCCAGGAUGAGCUGCAAAUGUAAUCCCUCUUGUUCUGGGCAAUUCUGUGCAGUUGUUUUCCUGGAAUUUUUAGCACCAGCAGCAACACUGUGCCUUUCCAUUGGAUUCAACAUCAUUUGAUCCUCCCUACUUUUGCCUCCCAUUGUGAUGUUGUUUGGGACAUAAGGAAAACAAUAACAAGGCACUGCACAGUUGUUUGCUAAAUGUUAUGAUGCUGUAUGAGAGAUUGAUUUCCCUUUUGUACUAAUGUGCUCCAUACUCCUCCUCUAGUUUAUCUGAUGAUUUUCCAUUCAUCUCCCAAAUGUUUGGUUUUCAACAUUUGGUGUUUCCUUGCACUUCUGUGGCAUAGACAUGGGUUGAUUGGAAAGAAUUUAAGAAGAGGUCUAACUUCACUCUCUUGCAUACCAAAUCAAAAGAAUGUUACAUCUUCAGACUUCAAGCUGAAAAUACAUUGGGUGGGAGGCACCAACAAGCUGGCUGCAGAUUCACAACAGAAAUUGCAUAUUAGCCAACGAUAAUGCAGUUUCCCCUCCACAUUUGUGGUUUUGACUUUUGCAAAAUUGAUCAUUCACAUAUUUUAUUUAAAAUGUUAUUUCUAUGAAUGUCUAUGAAUUCACAGGUCCUCCAAAGUGCCUGUACUGUCCACUCCCCCAAUCAAGCUGGAGGAGCUAGAUAACUCUCUAGAUAUCUCUAGGUCUUCCAAUGCAAUUAUAUGGUCAGCUUCCAGUGGAAGUUGGUCAUAGUAAUGCUGGAAGACCUGUGUAAAAAGAGCAAUUUCAUUGUGCUUUUAAACUUUCACUGGGGCCUCAAACCACAGCAGAUUUGGAAGGUUGACUGUAUUUUCCUCCAAGUAUUUGCUGUGUUGCAGGGUUGGGACAAGACAUUUUGCUGCUUGAGUGAAGGUUGUAAUUGUGCUCCUUCCCCACUUUACACACACAAGCCAAUUGAACUAGCAGCUUCUAACACUAGCAGCAAUGGUUUUGAGAUAGGUCAGUGUACAGAUGCUAGCCAAUUGUACAGGUGCAAACCCAACAAUAGACAGGGCAUAGGGAUUUUUUACUUUAAAGAUCCCACUGUCACCAAUUGUAGAAGUCUCGAGCCAAUUUGUAGAGGGCUGCCACCAAUUGUACAGGUGCACGCACCUGUUUUACAGGUAUGGAUGAUUAUAGAGGGAAUUAAUCUCAGGCCUCUAUUGUUGAUAAGAAUUUGUUAUAGAGGAGGCCAAUUAUUGUUUGUAAAUUAAGGUAACUGCCACCAACGUGAGGUAUUUAAGGUAUCACUGAUGAGAUCUGGCUCUACAAAUGCAGAUUAAUGGAGAUGAGACGGUCUUCAACAAAAGUUAACAAGUUUAUUGAGUACAAAGCUUAUGGUUGCAGGCUGUUAAAUAACUUAUAGAACUUUGAAUAUAACUUGGUUAGUAAUAUAGUCCUUUUCUAGAUGAAACAGCUCGUGAUUACAUCUUACUGAGGCGAAGCACUUUGGUGAACAAUGUUUCCUAAUAUGAAUAGCCUUCUCAUUUGAUCUUUCCUUGAUCAAAUAUCUGAUCUCUAAUCCUUUCUCGACUAGCGAUCUUACAAGCUUCCUUUAGUCUACUUUAACUAAAGAAACUGGUUAGGUUUCUCCCUUCUGCCCUCCUAGACUGAAAAACUUCUAGCUAUCCACACACACCUCUCUCCCAGGCUUUUCAAGCCUCCACUCUCACACAUUGACUGACUCCAACUCUCUCAGACUCACACUGCCCCUUUUCCAAAGACGCAGAUAACUUCUCCUCCUUGGCUCCGCCCACUUCUCACUCUCUGAGCUAGCCUGCCUGGUUUCCUUGGCAACGCUCCCUGUUGGUUCAAACUAGAUAACUCUAGUCUUAGCUACUGUUAUAAACAUAAACAUACACUCUAACAGUUAAACAUAUACAUAGUAUCAAUGACGUCUGCACAGUCAGUUUGUAUAGGGAGGGGAUAGGGUGGAUCACAUGACUCAUGUGGUCUCUCUACCAAUCGUGGGCACAGUUUCCUGGAAACCUUAGGAGAACUAGCCAGUGGUUGAUUCAAGUAGGGCCUGUAGCUACUGCCUUCUUCUGUUUAAUGAUACAACCGGCCCUGGCAUGCUGCAGGAGUUGACUCCAAAUGUUGUAAAUUCCUCCACAUAAAACAACUUCCAGAUAGAGGGAUUAUUAGAAUAGGACAAUGGAGUUUCAGAUGAACAAAUGUGCCUAAGAGGUUCUAUCAUCAUUGUUUUUGAAUCCUCCUAAAAACUGAAUGGGUUUGGUUUCCUAGACAAGAAGCUAUCUAGCUUUACCCUGUUCCAUCUAGCUCAAAAUUAUCUACCACACAAACUGGCAGCAGUUCUCUGAGGUUUUAGACAUAGAUCCUCAGAUACCGUACAUGGGACCUUCAGCACACAAAGUUAUAGUCUCUCUUCAAAAAUUAAAAUAUAUUUUUUCCUAACCCCAUACCCCUACAAAAUAGAGCUGAGGAUAACCGAACUGUUUGCAGCUUCACAAUAGAAGACAAAGAAUAUAUAAGAGAAAACGAAUUGUUCUUAAAACUCCUUGCUGUUUAGGUAUAUCUAAAUCUAUCUGGGAACUAGCUGGUCCUUUCAGUUGUGAUUGUUUGUGCCUCUAAUAUCAAAAUAACUGUGACUGAAAUCUGAAAUGUAUCUUGCAUCUGAAUAAUCAUAUGUGGCAAUAAAUGUAAUUUUCAAAAUGAA